rnacentral:rRNA from 1 species
AACGAACGCUGGCGGCAUGCCUAACACAUGCAAGUCGAACGAGACCUUCGGGUCUAGUGGCGCACGGGUGCGUAACACGUGGGAAUCUGCCCUUUGCUUCGGAAUAACAGUUAGAAAUGACUGCUAAUACCGGAUGAUGUCGAAAGACCAAAGAUUUAUCGGCAAAGGAUGAGCGCGCGUAGGAUUAGGUAGUUGGUGGGGUAAAGGCCUACCAAGCCGACGAUCCUUAGCUGGUCUGAGAGGAUGAUCAGCCACACUGGGACUGAGACACGGCCCAGACUCCUACGGGAGGCAGCAGUAGGGUAUAUUGGACAAUGGGGGAAAGCCUGAUCCAGCAAUGCCGCGGGAGUGAUGAAGGCCUUAGGGUUGUAAAGCUCUUUUAGCAGGGAUGAUAAUGACGGUACCUGGAGAAUAAGCACCGGCUAACUCCGUG